GAUGGACGCUAGUUACAGGCUUAACACAUGCAAGUCGAGGGGAAACGGCAUCGAAAGCUUGCUUUUGAUGGGCGUCGACCGGCGCACGGGUGAGUAACGCGUAUCCAACCUGCCCACCACUUGGGGAUAACCUUGCGAAAGUAAGACUAAUACCCAAUGAUAUCUCUAGAAGACAUCUGAAAGAGAUUAAAGAUUUAUCGGUGAUGGAUGGGGAUGCGUCUGAUUAGCUCGUUGGCGGGGUAACGGCCCACCAAGUCUACGAUCAGUAGGGGUUCUGAGAGGAAGGUCCCCCACAGUGGAACUGAGACACGGACCAAACUGCUACGGGAGGCAGCAGUGAGGAAUAUUGGUCAAUGGACGAUAGUCUGAACCAGCCAAGUAGCGUGCAGGAUGACGGCCCUAUGGGUUGUAAACUGCUUUUAUAAGGGAAUAAAGUGAGUCUCGUGAGACUUUUUGCAUGUACCUUAUGAAUAAGGACCGGCUAAUUCCGUGCCAGCCGCCGCAGUAA
rnacentral:rRNA from 1 species